CUGCAGCCUGAUAUUGAAUGUUGGUACAGCUUGUACAGGAUAGGUAGGAGCCUUGGAAACCGGAGCGCCAGCUUCGGUGGAGGCAUCGGUGGGAUACUACCCUGGCUGUAUUGACCUUCUAACCCGCCGCCCUUAUCGGGCGGGGAGACAGUGUCAGGUGGGCAGUUUGACUGGGGCGGUCGCCUCCUAAAAGGUAACGGAGGCGCCCAAAGGUUCCCUCAGAAUGGUUGGAAAUCAUUCGCAGAGUGUAAAGGCACAAGGGAGCUUGACUGCGAGACCUACAAGUCGACAGGGACGAAAGUCGGGCUUAGUGAUCCGGUGGUUCCGCAUGGAAGGGCCAUCGCUCAACGGAUAAAAGCUACCCCGGGGAUAACAGGCUUAUCUCCCCCAAGAGUCCACAUCGACGGGGAGGUUUGGCACCUCGA
rnacentral:rRNA from 2 species